rnacentral:tRNA from 1 species
GGGGAUGUAGCUUAUAUGGUAGAGCGCUCACUUUGCAUAUGAGAGGUAUGGGGAUCAGUAACCCGCAUCUCCA